UUUUGGUUGCCUUUCCCGUUAUUAUUCUUGGUGUUAUAAAUUAUUAAUCAAUCUUGGAGUUUAUCACUACACUUAUAUCCAACAAGUGGUAUCAGAGCAUUAAUCCCAACACUGUUGAUUAAAGCUUGUGUCGCUGGUGAUGGAAGAAGCUGCUGUGUCGAUCGGAGAGGAAGGAAACGCAGGUGAAGCAGCUCGUCUGUGGUUAUUACGCUCACCAUAAAUAGAGACGAAGGGAGAAAGAGAGAG
rnacentral:lncRNA from 1 species